AGUCGAGGGGCAGCAUUUCAGUUUGCUUGCAAACUGGAGAUGGCGACCGGCGCACGGGUGAGUAACACGUAUCCAACCUGCCGAUAACUCGGGGAUAGCCUUUCGAAAGAAAGAUUAAUACCCGAUGGNAUAAUCAGACCGCAUGGUCUUAUUAUUAAAGAAUUUCGGUUAUCGAUGGGGAUGCGUUCCAUUAGGCAGUUGGUGAGGUAACGGCUCACCAAACCUUCGAUGGAUAGGGGUUCUGAGAGGAAGGUCCCCCACAUUGGAACUGAGACACGGUCCAAACUCCUACGGGAGGCAGCAGUGAGGAAUAUUGGUCAAUGGGCGCAGGCCUGAACCAGCCAAGUAGCGUGAAGGAUGACUGCCCUAUGGGUUGUAAACUUCUUUUAUAUGGGAAUAAAGUUUUCCACGUGUGGAAUUUUGUAUGUACCAUAUGAAUAAGGAUCGGCUAACUCCGUCCCAGCAGCCGCGGUAAUACGGAGGAUCCGAGCGUUAUCCGGAUUUAUUGGGUUUAAAAGGGAGCGUAGGUGGACAGUUAAGUCAGUUGUGAAAGUUUGCGGCUCAACCGUAAAAUUGCAGUUGAUACUGGCUGUCUUGAGUACAGUAGAGGUGGGCGGAAUUCGUGGUGUAGCGGUGAAAUGCUUAGAUAUCACGAAGAACUCCGAUUGCGAAGGCAGCUCACUGGACUGCAACUGACACUGAUGCUCGAAAGUGUGGGUAUCAAACAGGAUUAGAUACCCUGGUAGUCCACACAGUAAACGAUGAAUACUCGCUGUUUGCGAUAUACAGUAAGCGGCCAAGCGAAAGCAUUAAGUAUUCCACCGGGGGAGUACGCCCGGCAACGGUGAAACUCAAAGGAAUUGACGGGGGCCCGCACAAGCGAAGGAACAUGUGGUUUAAUUCAAUGAUACGCGAGGAACCUUACCCCGGGCUUAAAUUGCAUUUGAAUANUNUGGAAACAGNNUAGCCGNAAGGCAAAUGUGAAGGUGCUGCAUGGUUGUCGUCAGCUCGUGCCGUGAGGUGUCGGCUUAAGUGCCAUAACGAGCGCAACCCUUAUCUUUAGUUACUAACAGGUCAUGCUGAGGACUCUAGAGAGACUGCCGUCGUAAGAUGUGAGGAAGGUGGGGAUGACGUCAAAUCAGCACGGCCCUUACGUCCGGGGCUACACACGUGUUACAAUGGGGGGUACAGAAGGCAGCUACCUGGUGACAGGAUGCUAAUCCCAAAAGCCUCUCUCAGUUCGGAUCGAAGUCUGCAACCCGACUUCGUGAAGCUGGAUUCGCUAGUAAUCGCGCAUCAGCCAUGGCGCGGUGAAUACGUUCCCGGGCCUUGUACACACCGCCCGUCAAGCCAUGAAAGCCGGGGGUACCUGAAGUACGUAACCGCAAGGAG
rnacentral:rRNA from 1 species